CUGUCUUCUGUAUAUACCCUGUAGAUCCGAAUUUGUGUAAGGAAUUUUGUGGUCACAAAUUCGUAUCUAGGGGAAUAUGUAGUUGACAUA
ensembl:miRNA microRNA 10a